CAUAAUCAUUUGUCUUUUAAUUGGAGUCUGGAAUGAAGGGCUGGAUAAAAAGUUAUCUUUCUUUAUUUUAUAAAAAUAAAUUAAUUUCUGAUUGAAAAAGAUCAGAUCCUUUUAAAGGACGAGAAGACCCUAUAGAACUUUAUUGUUGAUAAUUUAUAUAUAAUUUGGUUAAUAAUUUUUAUAUAAUUUAUUAAUAAUUUUGUUGGGGUGACAAAAAAAAUUUUUUAACUUUUUUUAUAUUUUUCAUUUGUAUAUGAUUUUUUGAUCCUUUUAUAAGGAAAAAAGAUUAAGUUACCUUAGGGAUAACAGCGUUAUUACUUUAGAGAGUUCUAAUUGAUAAAGUAGUUUGCGACCUCGAUGUUGGAUUAAAAUAAGAGUCAGGAGCAGAUGAUUGAUUUCUAGGUCUGUUCGACCUUUAAAUUUUUACAUGAUCUGA
rnacentral:rRNA from 1 species